GAUGGUCUUCUGUAUUUGUGUGACAGGUUUCUAUGUGAAGUCUACUUCAUCAGUGAUGAGAUCAGCUAUUACAGCUCAUCCGUGGCUUCCCUGUGCUCGAUGGUGGAUUCCCAUCCUUUGACACUCAAGAGAGAACAGUGAAAUGUAUUUGCCACUAAGAUACAGUGCUGGCUUGGCUUUUGUGAGUUGCCUGCUCUAUGGAGAGGAUCUAAGAAAAGGAAGCAUGGUAGGUGGCUUUUGGGUCUCUAGCCCCAGCACUUGGUGAUGGCAGCACUGACUAAGAGGUGGGGAGCCCUGGAGAAAGAAGUAAUUUUCUUGGAGGAGAGAAGCAACGUGAGGUCAGUGUGAAUUGUGCCUGUAUCUUUGAUGGAUGAACACUGAAUCACCCAGAGAGUACCUACGGAGCAGAAGAGAAGAUUAUCCAGAAAUGACAGAGGCCAUCAACCAUUGGGAGAGACUCAGGAAGAAAGAAGCCAAUGUAGAAUUCAGAACCUGUUGUCUAUAUUCUUGACUAAUGAGAUUGAAGGAGGAUUUCCAUUUUUUCAUAUUUUCCUUUUGUUUAUGGUAAAAGAUGCCAUAAUUCUGCAUCUGAACCAUAAACACAAGUAAUUGCAGUGUAGCCACAUUGCAAAAGAUUGCCAAAGUCCAGGGCUGACAUUUGCCUGCUCACUUGCUUGUUUGUUAAGUAUUUGUUUGCUUUUUAACCCGAGUGAGCUUUUGUAGUUAUUAUUCAGAGUAUGCAGAAUUAACCAGCUGUACCUUAUAACACAGGGCAGGUGAGUAGAGUAGACAAGCAAGAGAUAGCAAAGCCUGCCUAAAUGCUAAGUCAAUGAACAUUGAUUUGGUACACACUGAAGCAUACCAUGUUAUAAGAAAAUAAAUAUAACUUGAAGGCAAAACACUAAACACCCAGUUAAUUUAUGGUGAAACAUGCUUAGUUUAUGAUUUUGGUUAAUACACGCUUGAACUGAAACAGUGUUCUCUACUCAAUUCUUAUUAAAUAGUGUAGGUGUUCUCUGGAGCAUGAGGUAAUAACCCAAAUACAAUUAAAAUGACCAUAAAAUUAAGGGCCUCCACAUAGGCUCCCAAGGAUGGGACUGUUUGAGGCUUCUAGACACUAGCAUUGGGUGGUCUGCUGUUGCUGUAUGAUACUUAAAUAGAGCCCUUUCUCUCUCGGUCUGUAAGGUGUUAAGGUGUUUUUAUAUGACCCCAUAAACCCUCGUUAAACACUUUCUUUUUCAUAAAGAAAACUUAAAUCUUUAUUUGACGUGUUUUCUGUGGCACUCUUUUGGCAUUUUAACAAGUCCUUUAAAGAAUCACUUCAAUAAUUGCACCCAGCUUUCAAGGGGAGGCUAUGGGUAAUUUCAGGUGUUCCCCUUUCCUCCUUAAAAAAAAAUUAGAUAGAGGUCCUGAUACAGUAAGCAACAGGCACAAGAUUUUGGUAUAUUUUCUUUGACUAAGGAAAAAAAAAAGGAUCAAAAGACUCUUCAGGUGGAGAAAGACCAAUGUCUAUGCUGCAUGUGACGAGAGCAGGUGUGUUCAGAGCAGUGUGGCCACAGACUCGGGGUUUUGUAUGAGAUGAUGGGACAGAAGGUUUCACUCCUGGAUGGGUGGACUGUGGUUUAUUAUCGUAGGUCACUGCUGCGUUGAUGUUGGUGCUUCCUAAAUACUUCAUGAGAAGUAUCAGCAUCAUGUUUCCAAUCCCGUUCAUCCUUAUUCCCUCCCUCCGUUUAUGUUUUCUUCAUAGUCUUUCCCACUUAUGUACAGAGUAUAUGACGCAUGUAUUGUGGUUACUUUUUUUAUCUACCUGUAUGUAACCUUCAUGACAAAGGGGCUUUAAAACUUCCUAAUCACUUAUUUAUAAUGAUAACGACUUAAAAAUAAUAACUAUUAUUAUGUAUAUAUAUGCAUAUGUGUAUAUAUGUAUAUAUGUGAAUCCAGGGGUGUGUAUGCCACCACAUGUGUGAGGCCACAGAGGACAACUUUCCCAAGUUGUUACCCCCUUCUCUUCUGGUUCUGGGGAUAGAACUCAGGGUGUUAGGCUUGAGUGCUUCUAAUGAUUGAUCAAUUCUGCCAGCGCAAGACUGAGUCUUAAUUGUCAUUGUGUAUAUUCUAUGUCUAGGGCAGCACUUGGGGGAAUAAUGGUCAGCAGUAAUUGUUUGUUGGAUGAAUAGAUUCACUAUGGACAGAAUCAAUCCAUGUUAUCCCACAUGUAUUCUAUCCCAUGGUGUAAUGCAAACUUUCACUCAUUUUUGAGUCCAGGGUUUACAUGCACCUAACUAAUUUUUUUUAAUUCCAUAAUUUAAUUUUUCCUCUUUUUUCUCUACAUUUUGAAUCACAAAAUCUUGGAAAAGUUAGGAAUAAUAUUUAUAUGAUAAAGAAAUGUCACCAGGUAGCCACGAGUUAUUGGUGAUCUCAUGGAGUGGUAGUCCACACAAAGGCACUGUGAACUGCAACUUCUUCCACAUCGCAACAGGUGGCUAUAUUAGUCUAUUUUUUAUCCCUCUUUAAAAGAAAGAGAACACCCAUUGCACAGAAGUGUUGCUAUUUGUGAACUCCAUAUUCUUGAAAAAUGUUUAACCACGAGGAAGGAUUUGGGGACUUUUGAUGAGUAGGAAGUCCCAGCAUCUACCUCCCACCCACACUGCAGUCUUAUUGGAAGUUCUGUGAAUUGUGAAUACUCUAGAAAUAAACUCUGUUAAAGGCCUGAAAGUUGGAGGGGACCCAGCACACUGCAGUUUGUUUCAAGAAGUAUCAAGCAAAACUAAAACCAAUUCUCUCUAAUGUUCAAUAAAACUGAUUAAUCUUUUGUCAGCUUGACUAUGGAAAAAGAGCAACUCAAAAAGCAAGGACAUCUGUAUGGGUUCUAUAGAAACAAAAGGGAUUAUAGGACAGUUUUCGGAAUGACUUUUUACCAACAGAUAAGAUAAUCCAGAUGAAACAGACAAAUUCUUAGAAAUCAGAAAACCUACUGAGACUGUGUCAUAAAAACAGAAUAUCUGACUAAGCUCAGAAACAGUAAGGAGAUUGAAUCAAUAAUAAAAAGUUCCUCACAGAAUAAUACUCUGGACCCAAUAGUUUCACUAGUGAAUUCUAUCAAAUAUUUGAGAUGUACUGGUAUCAACCCUCAAAUGUAAUAAUUAUUGAAGAAGGAACAUUCCUUAGUUCUUUUAAAUUUUUUACUUUUAGCUUUAUUUAUGUGUCUGUAUGUCUGUGAAUCCCACAUGUUCAGGUGCUAAGAAAGGCUAGAAAAGGUUGUUCUUCUCCUGGAGGUGGAAUUACAGGUGGUCGUGAAUUGCCUGGUAAAGAUGCGAGGAACAAAACUUGGCUUCUCUGAAAGGGCAACAAGCUGAUCUGGCACUGCAGACCCCAACACACACUCGGAGGCCAGUAUUACCCAGACUCCACAGCCAGAAGUAGUAUAAGGAGAGAAAACGAAAGUCAGUAUUCCUUAUGGACAAUUGGUAUUAAAAUCAACAAAAUGUUAAAUUUAAAACUAUAUUAGAAGGAUAUACACCAAAUGAUAUUUAUUUCUAGAAUACAUAUAUGACAACAUAUAAGUCAUUUAGUAUAAUACACCACAUGAAUAAAUGAGAGGAAAAAACCUCACAAUCAUCUUAAGUGACUCAGGUUUUGACAAAAUUUAUGAUACUUUCAUGACAAAAUCCUUAUACUGAUUAUAGAAAGAAACCAGCUUCAUCACAGCAAAAACCAUACAGAAAAUAUCCAGAAAAAAGAAUAAUAAAUCCUGAAAAAUGGAUAGUUUUCUUUCUGAGAUUAGACUGCCUUGGGUAGUAGGCACCCAAGUCAUGCCCAGACAUACAUUCAGGUGAAAUAGCUAUUCUCACAAAGUUAAAAAAAAAAAUCUGCAUUUGGCUAGUGUGGAUGUAUUGGCUAGUGUAGAUGUAUUGGCUAGUGUAAAUAUAUUGCAAACCAGAAAAACAAACAUGAAAUGCAAGAAAACAAGCAAAAUCCAUCAUUUGUUUGGAUCGUUGAUUUAGACUUACAUGUAAGGGCUUACUCUACUUCAGAAAGUGUUGGCCUCAACUUACUAAUAAAAUCAGUGAUGAAUUUGUCUCCAAGUAGGUUCCUAAUUGGGGAUACUGAGAGCUAGGACGGUAAUGCAGUGUGUGAUUGGGAGUAUCUUAUGUUAAGCCUGUCUUUACUGUCGUCCCCAUGUCUCACUUUAUUUCUAAGACCUCCUGAUUUAUUAUUCUUAAUUAAGUCACUAUUUGCUUUCAUCAGAUGGAACUAUGUUGUAUAGAUAUGUACUGAAGUGUGAGGAAAUGUCCUGUGCUAUCUCAAUCCGGUCCCCUGAUUGGAAUCUGCCUUUCAAAUGAUUUAUGGAAAGCAUGUGGGGAUCAGAAGCCUGUCUCUUCAGUGGAAACAUGAACAGGACCACACAAAUGGUCCCACCGUGACAUUUCAUUCUGUGCAGCCCCAGGAAACAAACCCUCCUUACCACAGAAGCCUGCUUGCCCCUCUCCGACUCUAGCAUGCUCACUCCCAGCCUCACACAGAACCAUAUUCACUUUCUCAACGCUUGUCUACUCGAAAGCGACUGAAACCUUGUUUGUUUGCUUUGGAAUCUUUCUCUCUUCAUGUCUUACCACUUCUCUAACUAUAAAAUGCAUAUUUUUAAAACAUGUUGGACCUUUGGGAUAGCUUGAUGUUGGUAAUGUAAGAGUCUUGGCUCAUUCAUUGAGGGCUUUGCGGCGUCUGUGUUUUUAAGUGUAUUUGAUAUUCAUCUAUGUGUUUUAACUUUCAGAUAUUUUUCUUUUUGUGCAUAAUGGAACUGACCUCAGAACAUUAUACUUAAUGUUAUUCAGAUUUUUACUUAUCUGUUUAUUAGACGAAGUAUUUCUAAAACAUUAAAAAAAAAACCCUCCAGGAAUCUAAAAAUUUCUUAACAGUAUCCCAAGACAAGGAAUUCAGCUUUGGAAGAAUUCAUAACUUGUGUUCAGAUUUUCAUAGAUACAGACAGAUGAAUAGCAAUGUGCUUGUAAGCAGCAUCUUGAAAACUGGAGAAUCAUAAAGAAUGCUUCUACACACUCAAACAUGAUUAAAGGCUGUUGCUCUAGAUAGAGCACAAUAAUCUAAUAAACUCUCAGUCCAUGUGUAGCUGAAGGGAAAUUUUAAAUGCUUUUUUAUUAUGUC